rnacentral:tRNA from 1 species
GCUCUCUUAGCUCAGUUGGUUAGAGCAUCGUGCUAAUAACGCGAGGGUCGCAGGUUCGAGCCCUGCAGGGAGCA